rnacentral:rRNA from 1 species
CCUACGGGUGGCUGCAGUGGGGAAUAUUGGACAAUGGGCGAAAGCCUGAUCCAGCCAUGCCGCGUGUGUGAAGAAGGCCUUCGGGUUGUAAAGCACUUUCAGUGGGGAAGAAAGCCUUGGGGCUAAUACCCUCGAGGAAGGACAUCACCCACAGAAGAAGCACCGGCUAACUCCGUGCCAGCAGCCGCGGUAAUACGGAGGGUGCGAGCGUUAAUCGGAAUUACUGGGCGUAAAGCGCGCGUAGGCGGUCUGAUAAGCCGGUUGCGAAAGCCCCGGGCUCAACCUGGGAACGGCAUCCGGAACUGUCAGGCUAGAGUGCAGGAGAGGAAGGUAGAAUUCCCGGUGUAGCGGUGAAAUGCGUAGAGAUCGGGAGGAAUACCAGUGGCGAAGGCGGCCUUCUGGACUGACACUGACGCUGAGGUGCGAAAGCGUGGGUAGCAAACAGGAUUAGAUACCCCAGUAGUC